rnacentral:rRNA from 1 species
UCCUACGGGAGGCAGCAGUGGGGAAUCUUGCACAAUGGAGGAAACUCUGAUGCAGCGAUGCCGCGUGAGUGAAGAAGGCCCUUGGGUUGUAAAGCUCUUUUGUCGGGAAAGAUAAUGACUGUACCCGAAGAAUAAGGUCCGGCUAACUUCGUGCCAGCAGCCGCGGUAAUACGAAGGGACCUAGCGUAAUUCGGAAUUACUGGGCGUGAAGCGCGCGUAGGCGGUUAAGUAAGUUAAUUGUGAAAGCCCAAAGCUCAACUUUGGAAUUGCAAUUAAAACUACUUAGCUAGAGUUUAUCAGAGGAAAGCGGAAUACUUAGUGUAGAGGUGAAAUUCGUAGAUAUUAUGUAGAACACCAGUUGCGAAGGCGGCUUUCUGGGAUAACACUGACGCUGAGGUGCGAAAGUAUGGGUAGCGAAGAGGAUUAGAUACCCUCGUAGUCCAUACCGUAAACGAUGAUUGUUAGAUGUUGGAAAUUUAUUUUCAGUAUCACAGCUAACGCGUUAAACAAUCCGCCUGGGGAGUACGACCGCAAGGUUAAAACUCAAAUGAAUUGACGG